rnacentral:rRNA from 1 species
CUUGCUCCACCGGAGAAGAAGAGUGGCGAACGGGGGAGUAACACGUGGGUAACCUGCCCAUCAGAACGGGAUAACACUUGGAAACAGGUGCUAAUACCGUAUAACAAUCGAAACCGCAUGGUUUUGAUUUGAAAGGCGCUUUCGGGUGUUCUGAUGGAUGGACCCGCGGUGCAUUAACUAGUUGGUGAGGUAACGGCUCACCUGGCCACGAUGCAUAGCCGACCUGAGAGGGUGAUCGGCCACGUUGGGACUGAAACACGGCCCAAACUCCUACGGGAGGCAACAUUAGGGAAUCUUCGGCAAUGGACGAAAGUCUGACCGAGCAACGCCGCGUGAGUGAAGAAUGUUUUCGGAUCGUAGAACUCUGUUGUUAGAGAAAAACAAGGAUGAUAGUAACUGUUCAUCCCUUGACGGUAUCUAACCAGAAAGCCACGGCUAACUACGUGCCAGCAGCCGCGGUAAUACGUAGGUGGCAAGCGUUGUCCGGAUUUAUUGGGCGUAAAGCGAGCGCAUGCGGGUUUGCUUAUGUCU